rnacentral:rRNA from 1 species
UGAACAUGGGGGGACCACCCUCCAAGGCUAAGUACUCCUCGACAACCGAUAGUGAACGAGUACCGUGAGGGAAAGGUGAAAAGCACCCCGACGAGGGGAGUGAAAGAGACCCUGAAACCGAAUGCUUACAAUCAGUCGGAGCCCGCAAGGGUGACGGCGUACCUUUUGCAUAAUGGGUCAGCGAGUUGGUCUGUGCAGCGAGCUUAAGCCGGUAGGCGUAGGCGCAGCGAAAGCGAGUCUGAACAGGGCGUUCAGUUCGUCGGACUAGACCCGAAACCGAGUGAUCUAGCCAUGAGCAGGCUGAAGGUUGGGUAACACCAACUGAAGGGCCGAACCCGUAUCUGUUGCAAUAGAUUGGGAUGACUUGUGGCUAGGGGUGAAAGGCCAAUCAAACUCGGAGAUAGCUGGUUCUCUGCGAAAUCUAUUUAGGUAGAGCGUCAUCCGUAUACCCUCGGGGGUAGAGCACUGGAUGGGCUAUGGGGACCCACAGUCUUACUGAUCCUAACCAAACUCCGAAUACCG